UAUAUAGUUGCAAGCCCCUCCCGUCUAUCGCGAUCCACAGCAGAGAUGGGUGGCGCACUCUGUGUCCGGCGGCAGCAGUCAGCUGAUUCGGCGAGGUCGGCAGCCGCACCAACUGAGAGUGGUGCAGAACAUGCACAAGGGAAAAGCGAACAGGAAGAUUGUACUAGGAAUGAUGGAGAACUCACUUCAAAUCGACCGGAGAAGUUGCAGAGCGAUGUGCAGCUGCAAGUCGACCAGCGUCCAGACGUUGGGAUGCAAUCUGACAACCAGUAUGCCAUCUCGAUAGCAUUAGUAAUAUGCCAAAAUCUGUUUCAUUUGCUCCAGUCGAAUUACCGUGAAUCGUACCCCAAAAUAACUACAUAACUAGGCAGUUGAAAUCGGGGACGAAUGCCGAGGAUCAGUGGCGGAUGCAGAAGAGCCAGGUAGGAGCCUGAUUUAUCCGUUUCUCUUUUUCAUCAUCUUCUUCUUUUCCUCUUUCUCUUUCUCAUCAUAAAAAAAAAAUGUUAGAGGAGGGCUUUCGUUGGCUACCAAGUAACAGGGGGCUGCCGCCCCCUCUGGAUCCGCCCUCUCGCCCAGAAUUAUUCCAUAUGGCUCCAGGUUUGCAGCCAGCAAGCUGUUCCUUUUCUUAAUUCUUUUCAACUUUAACUGUAACUCUUGGUUAUCAAUACAAUCAUCGCGUGAUUAUUUUCGCUAUCAUGGUAUCUGAUGUAGCAGGGGCAGCACCAUCGCUAGAGAUCAGUAAAUACACACAACGAGGACCCCGUCUUCAUUUCAUCCCUCCACGUGACCCACUGGACGUCCCUGCAGCCCCAACGCCGGAUCAUCUGUCCACAGGUACCGACUCCAAUUCUGCUAAGGUGCCUGGGAAGGAAGAAAGGACCAGCAACUGCUGCUGUAUCUCCUCGCCUACCACUACUUAGUUUCAUACUUACUGUUUGAACGUACUGCGCAUUAUUUCUGCUCUGCGCAAGCAUGUGAUAUUAUAUGGUUUAUGAACUGUUUUGUCACAUGCAUUAUUGUACCAAAAAAUUCUGCUCUGCGCAAGCAUGUGAUAUUAUAUGGUUUAUGAAAUGUUCGUGCACACUUUCUAGGGGUUUCUUUAUUCACUAGUG